rnacentral:lncRNA from 1 species
AUCCCUCUCCAAUAAAAAUUUUGCUUCACUCUUUUGUAGGUUCUUAGGAAUCCAGAGUGCCUUGCUGAAGGUAUGGAGUGCAUUUCAUGCAGGAUGAUUGUGAAACAAGGGGAGUCAGGUAUAAGCACAAUACGACCUUUGUAGCGUAGAUCCCUCGAAUCCCAAGUGUAGUGGGCUAUUGCACUUGGAUCCUCCUCCAAUUUUUUUAUAAUGUUGUUGAUCU